rnacentral:rRNA from 1 species
GAUGAACGCUGGCGGCGUGCCUAAUACAUGCAAGUCGAGCGAACGGACGAGAAGCUUGCUUUUCUGAUGUUAGCGGCGGACGGGUGAGUAACACGUGGAUAACCUACCUAUAAGACUGGGAUAACUUCGGGGAACCGGAGCUAAUACCGGAUAAUAUUUUGAACCGCAUGGUUCAAAAGUGAAAGACGGUCUUGCUGUCACUUAUAGAUGGAUCCGCGCUGCAUUAGCUAGUUGGUAAGGUAACGGCUUACCAAGGCAACGAUGCAUAGCCGACCUGAGAGGGUGAUCGGCCACACUGGAACUGAGACACGGUCCAGACUCCUACGGGAGGCAGCAGUAGGGAAUCUUCCGCAAUGGGCGAAAGCCUGACGGAGCAACGCCGCGUGAGUGAUGAAGGUCUUCGGAUCGUAAAACUCUGUUAUUAGGGAAGAACAUAUGUGUAAGUAACUGUGCACAUCUUGACGGUACCUAAUCAGAAAGCCACGGCUAACUACGUGCCAGCAGCCGCGGUAAUACGUAGGUGGCAAGCGUUAUCCGGAAUUAUUGGGCGUAAAGCGCGCGUAGGGCGGUUUUUUAAGUCUGAUGUGAAAGCCCACGGCUCAACCGUGGAGGGUCAUUGGAAACUGGAAAACUUGAGUGCAGAAGAGGAAAGUGGAAUUCCAUGUGUAGCGGUGAAAUGCGCAGAGAUAUGGAGGAACACCAGUGGCGAAGGCGACUUUCUGGUCUGUAACUGACGCUGAUGUGCGAAAGCGUGGGGAUCAAACAGGAUUAGAUACCCUGGUAGUCCACGCCGUAAACGAUGAGUGCUAAGUGUUAGGGGGUUUCCGCCCCUUAGUGCUGCAGCUAACGCAUUAAGCACUCCGCCUGGGGAGUACGACCGCAAGGUUGAAACUCAAAGGAAUUGACGGGGACCCGUACAAGCGGUGGAGCAUGUGGUUUAAUUCGAAGCAACGCGAAGAACCUUACCAAAUCUUGACAUCCUUUGACAACUCUAGAGAUAGAGCCUUCCCCUUCGGGGGACAAAGUGACAGGUGGUGCAUGGUUGUCGUCAGCUCGUGUCGUGAGAUGUUGGGUUAAGUCCCGCAACGAGCGCAACCCUUAAGCUUAGUUGCCAUCAUUAAGUUGGGCACUCUAAGUUGACUGCCGGUGACAAACCGGAGGAAGGUGGGGAUGACGUCAAAUCAUCAUGCCCCUUAUGAUUUGGGCUACACACGUGCUACAAUGGACAAUACAAAGGGCAGCGAAACCGCGAGGUCAAGCAAAUCCCAUAAAGUUGUUCUCAGUUCGGAUUGUAGUCUGCAACUCGACUACAUGAAGCUGGAAUCGCUAGUAAUCGUAGAUCAGCAUGCUACGGUGAAUACGUUCCCGGGUCU